CUGCUACCAAAAGUGUCAAAAUCGGAUCACAAACUCUAUCGUAGCACAAAAUUAGCGCUAGAAAAGAAUUUUGUUAAAUGGUGAAACAAAUAUCACAGAUUUUGUUUACAAUAACACUUUUGUAUGAAAAUUUUAGUUUGUCGGCCCAACACUUAAAAUUUCUUUGCCACCAAAACACUCAAGACAAUUAUUUUUUUAUUUCUCUCUUCUUUCUCUCCAUCUUCGACACAUCUCUCUUCCAUCUUCUGUUUUUCUAUUUUCAGAUUUCAUCUCCUCAAUCUAUGUUCUUACUCAUCGCGCGCGCGCGCGCGCACACACACAUCUCUCUCUAUCUUACUCUCCUAAUCUCUCUCUCUCUCUCACACGCGACACAUCGAUCUCAAACCUAGAACUCGGGAACCCUAAACUGCGCUCGCACCGGAUAUAACUGCGCUCGCACCGGAUUCGUGAGCCGUCUCGAAGUUCCCAAAAGCAUUCCGAUAUGUGAUUCGAAACACUCGGAUCUUAUACGGUGUUUGGAUAGAGAUCUUCACCACCAGUUGAAACUGAGACUCAACUUAUCUCUUUGUUUUCUCUCUUCUUGAGUUUAUAGGAUACUGCAUAUUUUCAGUGGCUUUGUUUGUUUAUUGAGUUCUAAAGGUUGUAGGUUUAAUGGUGUUUGUUGUGCAGGAGAAUGAUUUACUCCUUUUGGAGGUGAUUUGAUGCGAGAGUUUAAGAAUGCACUUUUGAAGCAGAGAACGAACAGAGCAUCAGGCUCUCGAUUGGCAAAAUUGCAGGAUAAUCAGAAUAAGAGUCUUAUCCAACGCCGCUUAUCCGAACUUGAAGGCGGAAAGGUAAAGUCAAGUCUUAAUUAGCAACACUGAGUUGCAGUUUGAAAGAAGGUUGGCUUGAUGGUGGAAGCUUUGCUUUUUCUGUUUUACUUGUCAUUGUUUUUACAGUUAAACAAGGUGGAGGAGGCUGAAGAAGCUUGAUGGUGGUGGUCUCGCUACCGACGCCAUAUCAGAAGAAGCAUCGCUCGAGAUGAGAGAGAAGACAAAGGGCUGGUGAUUCAAGAUUCAAGCGAUUCAAGAACAUAAAAUAACUCAUGCUCUGUUUUUUUCUGUGUGUGUGUUUUUUAUUUACUUGGGACAAAGUUUAAUGAAAUACCAUUACAAGAUAUUAAUAACAUUAUGUAUUUUUGGAUAACUUUAUGGAAUAGAAAAUUUUGUAUUUUGUAA